rnacentral:tmRNA from 1 species
GGGGAUGUUUUUGGAUUUGACUAAGAACUUUAGUAGCAUAAAUGGCAAGCAGAGGGAAUCUCUUAAAACUUCUUUAAUAAAUGCAAAAAAUAAUAACUUUACAAGUUCAGAUCUUGUAAUGGCUGCUUAAUUUAGCAGAGAGUUUUGUUGGAUUUUGCUUUGAGGUUCAACUUAUACUCUUUAAGACAUCAAAGUAUGCCUAAAAAUGUUUCAAGUUGAUUUUUAGGGACCUUUAAACUUGAGAGUAAUUUGGUGGUUUGCUUGUUUUCCAAGCCUUAUUGCUUUUUCUAAAAAUUAGCUAAGCUUGUAAAUAUUUAUGAUAUUAUUUUUAGGACGCGGGUUCAAUUCCCGCCAUCUCCAAUUU